UUCAUUGUUUCUCUCACUUUUGGUUUAAGUGCUGCUUUCAGAAUCGGAUGAUGACAUCACCGAUGACGGUUCAGAUGACGAACCCUUGGUUAAGAUGAUGACCAGGAAGCCAUCAAAUGAGGAGCUGAAAACAACAGGUUUUAAAAUGUACGCUCGUCAUGACCUGUCAAACAAGAAGUCCUACAUCAAGGAGACAGUGAAAAAGUUGUCGGAGUGAAGUCUGGAGUUCUAUGCUAAUCACCACCUUCCAUGAGGCAGCAGGUAGCCUAGUGGUUAGCAUUGGGCCAGUAACCAAAAAGGUUUC